GUUGCGGUUACACCCGUUCCCAUACCGAACACGGAAGUUAAGCUCUUCAGCGCCGAUGGUAGUUGGGGGUUUCCCCCUGUGAGAGUAGGAC
rnacentral:rRNA from 1 species